rnacentral:misc_RNA from 1 species
AUUAAAUUCACAUGUGUAAACUACUAAAUCUCUUUAUAUGCAAUAACUCUUUUUCAUCAUUUCUCUAUUUUUAAUUUUUAUUUAAUUUGCAACAAUAACUUUUAUACAAUAGCACUAUUAAAUGCAUAUUAGAAUAAGAAAAUAAAAAUAUAAUAGCAUUAAACUAGAUUAAGCCCUAUUAAACACAAGUAGAAGAGAGAGGUUGCAAAGCUUUUUUGCAUAUAUAAUAUAAUGUUAUUUUUUGCAGCUUGAAUUUUGGAUAUAUUUUUUUAUGGGCCAGAAUUGUGACCCGACCCGAAAUCUUGCGUUGCGACUCGAUUUGGAUAAAAAGUGAGAUCUAUAGUGAUAGCGGAGGGCACGGGCCGAUCAGUAUAAAUAUUGUAAUAUUCUA